UAAUUAUGUUAUUAAUAAUCAAACACAUAAAUCUUUCGCCAUUUACUAAAGAUUUCCUUGGAAGGGAUCAAAAUGAGUCUUACUCAAUUAUUCUUUAGUCCACUUCGAUGGAUUC